rnacentral:lncRNA from 1 species
GGAAAAUUUUGGAAAUACUAUUUGGGAUAUUUGGAGGACUGUCACAUAAUUUAAGACUCUCUACAAAAGUAGUGUGCACAAGAGGGAGGACACUAUGGUGAUUUUAUGGAAAAGGGGUGCUGCAAUUAGAAGAAGUGGCUGUCACAUUUUUUUGGUGCUGGACUUUCACGGCCCACAAUUUUAAAAAAAAAAAGACUGCAGCACAUUGAAAGGGCAAAGAAAAAAACACACACGGACUGCAAGCGGAGGAGCUCACGAGCUUAUAGAAAAUAAAAAAAAAAAAAGAGAGAGAGCUUCAUGUUGCAGCCUCAUCCAUCCAGAAAGGGUGCACUCAUGGAGUUGAGUGGUCAAUUGGAAAAAAAUGAAAAAGAGGCUGGACAGAACGGCCUGGUCUAGCAAGUAGCCUGGACGCGCAAAACCCAAGCACGGAGCAACAUGAAGAGAGGAUUCACCCUAUUUUUAAGAGCUUCAGCCGCAUCACGUAUACACGUUGCAGCGGUGCAUCCAGCAGUUGCUUCGUCUACACGAACAAAACCUCCAGCGCACACACGACGGUCUAGCUGCAGCACAUAAUUCAAAAGACAACAGCACUCCACGUAGCAAUUGCACCUUCAUGCCAUCCAGCAAGCCACAACCCAAAACUUUGAGGGAAGUCUCCAAUAGCUUGCAAUGUGCAACAACUUGGAGUCCACGGCCCUGCAGCAACGAAAACACAUCCCAACAGCUUCAGCAGCAGCAACCCACGUACAGCAGCCACACACACGCCCAUAUUCCAGCUGCAUCACGUCCCAAGUCUAGCAGAUGCAACCUUCUUCACGCAAGGUCCAACAAGGAAGCUUCUAAGUGAGAGACACUCAUGGACUCAAUGCAAAGAAUGUUGCAGCACGAGCAGCAGCCCACGUUUCAGCAGCUUAUCACGUCUAGUUUUCUUCUCGGCCCAACACCAAGUGCAGCAACGUCCAGCAGCUUCAAUCUUGCAGCAGCAUUUUGGAGGUGCAUACAGAAAGGCAACGAUCCAGCAAGCAGUUUGGGCUGGAAAGAAGCUGGAGUUGGCACGGAAGUAGGUUGCAUCAUCCACGCUGGCAGCUAGGAGUAGGGCACCUAGGGAUUGCUUAAGAGACAGCCGUCACAUACCUUUUUUUUUAAUUUGAGCUGCAGUGUUUUUUUUAGGAGGGAAUCACUCUCUCGGCAUUGAAGGGAAAUGAAGAUGUUUUUGUUUAUGGAUUAUGGUUGAAUGAAAGAAGGUUUUCUCCAUUUUUUAUUUUUUGUGCUAUGCUGGAACGUGUUCUGGAUUCUAGAAUGAAGCUCGCUGCUAUAACUUGUGAAACUCCAAGAUGAAUUUGUUUUCACCUUUCAUGCUUGAAACCGAGGAGUGGAGCACCAUUGCUAUCUUUGUCUUUAUUUUAUUUCUUGCAUUUACUUGCUUUUGAGAUAAGAGUGGAAGGGUGAUGUUGAUAGGUCUGCAACGUUGAUUCACGCUGCUGGAUAGUAGCUUGUCACGGUCUGUAACGUGAUUUCUUGGGAAUAGCAAGUUUUGGCACAUUUUUUUUAUUAUCUUCUUUGAGUAAAAUUGGUGCAAUAGCUGACACAUUGGAAUGUACAAGUUUUAUUAUCUAAACUUUAUUAAAUGAAAAGUGGCUGGACGGAGUGGAAGCAGCUG